AGCUUUGCACAGUGGCAGUAUCAUAGCCAAUGAGGUUUAUCUGAAGAGCUAUUAUUGCUAAUUGAAAACUUUUCCCAAUAACCUGUCAUGACAACUUACAAUAUAGUCGGCAUUGGCAAUUUUUGACAGUCUGUAUGGAGA
ensembl:snRNA U4 U4 spliceosomal RNA